GAAAAUAAAAAUUUUGAAAACUGAUUCGGUUUGUGAUAUUUAUAGCAAUAAACCUUAGAUAGAAAUCGUACAUGUGUUUUUGGAUAAGUAGAUCCUUGAUGUUUUCUAGCUUUCAACCAAACGAUCUUCUCUUUCAUUCUUGUACCACGAACUGUUUCAAGUGUGGGCUCAAACCAAUUGAAUCAAAAUACAAAACUAGAAAAUUUUUUCCUUUUGAAGUGAAAACAAA
rnacentral:lncRNA from 1 species